UACGGAGGGUGCGAGCGUUGUUCGGAAUCACUGGGCGUAAAGGGCGUGUAGGCGGUCCGCUAAGUCUGAUGUGAAAGCCCGGGGCUCACCCCCGGAAGGGCAUUGGAAACUGACGGACUCGAGUCCCGAAGAGGAGGGUGGAAUUCCUGGUGUAGCGGUGAAAUGCGUAGAUAUCAGGAGGAACACCGGUGGCGAAGGCGGCCCUCUGGACGGUGACUGACGCUGAGACGCGAAAGCGUGGGGAGCGAACAGG
rnacentral:rRNA from 1 species